AAAUAGAUACCCGGGUAGUCCACGCCGUAAACGAUGAGUGCUAAGUGUUAGGGGGGUUUCCGCCCCUUAGUGCUGCAGCUAACGCAUUAAGCACUCCGCCUGGGGAGUACGGCCGCAAGGCUGAAACUCAAAGGAAUUGACGGGGGCCCGCACAAGCGGUGGAGCAUGUGGUUUAAUUCGAAGCAACGCGAAGAACCUUACCAGGUCUUGACAUCCUCUGAAAAUCCUAGAGAUAGGACGUUUCCCUUCGGGGUAACAGAGUGACAGGUGGUGCAUGGUUGUCGUCAGCUCGUGUCGUGAGAUGUUGGGUUAAGUCCCGCAACGAGCGCAACCCUUGAUCUUAGUUGCCAGCAUUCAGUUGGGCACUCUAAGGUGACUGCCGGUGACAAACCGGAGGAGGUGGGGAUGACGUCAAAUCAUCAUGCCCCUUAUGACCUGGGCUACACACGUGCUACAAUGGAUGGUACAAGGGGCUGCGAAGACCGCGAGGUUUAGCCAAUCCCAUAAAACCGNUUACUCAGUUCGGAUUGCAGGUCUGCUAACCG
rnacentral:rRNA from 1 species